GACAGAGGAUGCAAGCGUUACCGCGAAUGAUUGGGCGUAAAGCGUCUGUAGGUGGCUUUUUAAGUCCGCCGUCAAAUCCCAGGGCUCAACCCCUGGACAGGCGGUGGAAACUACCACGCUGGAGUACGGUAGGGGCAGAGGGAAUUUCCGGUGGAGCGGUGAAAUGCGUAGAGAUCGGAAGAACACCAACGGCGAAAGCACUCUGCUGGGCCGACACUGACACUGAGAGACGAAAGCUAGGGGAGCGAAUGGG
rnacentral:rRNA from 1 species